rnacentral:rRNA from 1 species
GAUGAACGCUGGCGGCGUGCCUAAUACAUGCAAGUCGAGCGAACGGACGAGAAGCUUGCUUCUCUGAUGUUAGCGGCGGACGGGUGAGUAACACGUGGAUAACCUACCUAUAAGACUGGGAUAACUUCGGGAAACCGGAGCUAAUACCGGAUGAUAUUUUGAACCGCAUGGUUCAAAAGUGAAUGACGGUCUUGCUGUCACUUAUAGAUGGUGCCGCGCUGCAUUAGCUAGUUGGUAAGGUAACGGCUUACCAAGGCAACGAUGCAUAGCCGACCUGAGAGGGUGAUCGGCCACACUGGAACUGAGACACGGUCCAGACUCCUACGGGAGGCAGCAGUAGGGAAUCUUCCGCAAUGGGCGAAAGCCUGACGGAGCAACGCCGCGUGAGUGAUGAAGGUCUUCGGAUCGUAAAACUCUGUUAUUAGGGAAGAACAUAUGUGUAAGUAACUGUGCGCAUCUUGACGGUACCUAAUCAGAAAGCCACGGCUAACUACGUG